rnacentral:rRNA from 1 species
GACGAACGCUGGCGGCGUGCCUAAUACAUGCAAGUUGAGCGCUGAAGGUUGGUACUUGUACCAACUGGAUGAGCAGCGAACGGGUGAGUAACGCGUGGGGAAUCUGCCUUUGAGCGGGGGACAACAUUUGGAAACGAAUGCUAAUACCGCAUAAAAACUUUAAACACAAGUUUUAAGUUUGAAAGAUGCAAUUGCAUCACUCAAAGAUGAUCCCGCGUUGUAUUAGCUAGUUGGUGAGGUAAAGGCUCACCAAGGCGAUGAUACAUAGCCGACCUGAGAGGGUGAACGGCCAAAUUGGGACUGAGACACGGCCCAAACUCCUACGGGAGGCAGCAGUAGGGAAUCUUCGGCAAUGGACGAAAGUCUGACCGAGCAACGCCGCGUGAGGGAAGAAGGUUUUCGGAUCGUAAAACUCUGUUGGUAGAGAAGAACGUUGGUGAGAGUGGAAAGCUCAUCAAGUGACGGUAACUACCCAGAAAGGGACGGCUAACUACGUG